rnacentral:misc_RNA from 1 species
GGAGAACCUUUCAAAUACAUCACGUGAGUACCAUGCGUGAGCGCGUGCGUUCACGUUCAGAUGUGAUAGAACACGUUCGAGAGUGUAAUAUAUCUACCUUCUCCAAACUGUGGCUCUGCCGCGUGCGUUAGGAUUUCUCGUAGGUUGAGAAGAGAAAAUCCUUAAGUUUUAAACUUAAUGACAACAUAAUUUCACCUAUACUACACUUCCGGCUUUACUGUCUCGACGAGCAGAAAUUAAGGUCGUCUAAUUGUUAGUAAAAGCUUUUGUAAGUGAAUUUAAAAAAGUAACAAUAAGAGAACAUUUUAAAGAUUUGUUAUCAUAUACAGCCAAAUAGAAAAAGGAGCAACGUUCAAUGAGUGCAGCGUGACACUAGUGCCUGGAGCAGUUUGACUUGUAUCAGUUAUAGUAAGACUUCCAAUCAAAAGCGUUUUGCUGAUUUGAAGCCGCAGACGUUACCUUUGUGAAUUCAUUUCAAAUUUAUCCUCACUUCAUUCAUCAAACAAUGUCAAACGUAACAUUCUCGUGUCAAAUAAGUGCUUGACAUAAAUAUCAAACCGAACCCCCAAUCUGCAAUACAUGUGUUUUAUUUUCUACCUGUGACUGAUGAUGCAAUACAUUUUCUGCACGAAGAUUGAAAGAGCUGUAAUUCUAGUUUUCAAUUUCCAUAGUACAGAGCUCUGAAGAUAUUCUGUCAAAAUAUCUGCAUGAACUGAUUGUAUAAUAAUUUCUACCCUUGUGAAUUUUGAAUAGAAUGUACAGCUGUGCAAAUAUUUUCUUUAAAAAUCAGUAAAAUAGACGAUAAAUAAAA